rnacentral:rRNA from 1 species
UUUUCCGGUUGAUCCCGCCGGACCCUACUGCUAUCGGGGUGGGACUAAGACAUGCAAGUUGAGCGUCUCUAAGCUAUGGUAGAGACGCGGCAUACGGCUCAGUAACACGUGGCCAACCUACCCUUAGGACGGGGACAACCCCGGGAAACUGGGACUAAUAUCCGAUAGAUUAGGAGGCCUGGAAUGGUUCUUAGUCGAAAGGGCUUUGAAACCAUGCUUUUCAACGUCGCCUAAGGAUGGGGCCGCGCCCGAUCAGGCUGUUGGUGGGGUAAUGGCUCACCAAACCUAUAACCGGUGCGGGCCGUGAGAGCGGGAGCCCGGAGAUGGGCACUGAGACAAGGGCCCAGGCCCUACGGGGCGCAGCAGUCGCGAAAACUCCGCAAUGCGCGAAAGCGUGACGGGGCUACCCCGAGUGCCGUCCGCUGAGGAUGGCUUUUCCCCGGUGUAAUGAGCCGGGGGAAUAAGGAGAGGGCAAGUCUGGUGUCAGCCGCCGCGGUAAUACCAGCUCUCCGAGUGGUAGGGACGAUUAUUGGGCUUAAAGCGUCCGUAGCCGGCCUAGCAAGUCUCCUGUUAAAUUCAGCGACCUAAUCGUUGAGCCGCGGGAGAUACUACUAGGCUAGGAGGCGGGAGAGGCCGACGGUAUUCUCGGGGUAGGGGUGAAAUCCUAUAAUCCCGGGAGGACCACCAGUGGCGAAGGCUGUCGGCUAGAACGGGCUCGACGGUGAGGGACGAAAGCUGGGGGACCGAACCGGAUUAGAUACCCGGGUAGUCCCAGCUGUAAACGAUGCGGGCUAGGUGUUGGGGUGGCUACGAGCCACUUCAGUGCCGCAGGGAAGCCAUUAAGCCCGCCGCCUGGGGAGUACGGCCGCAAGGCUGAAACUUAAAGGAAUUGGCGGGGGAGCACCACAAGGCGUGAAGCUUGCGGUUCAAUUGGAGUCAACGCCGGGA